UUGUGAUUCUCUGCUCUUCGUUUUUUGUUCUUUUCUUUCCAAGCUUGAAACCCUUCGACAAAACCCAUGAAUAGAACCUGACCACUUCACCCCAUGAAUAGAACCCGACCCUUUCAUUUUUCACCCCCAUAAUAUCAAUAAGCAAGAAGUCGAUUAUUUUCUCCAACCAAAUAAAAACGACGCAUCUAGUGGUUAAUCAACCCUAAACCAAAACCCAUAUGUUUUUUCAGUUUUUUUCUCAUGAAGUUCUUCAUUUUUCAGAGAUUUUAAAGAUGGAGAAAAGGAAGAUAUAUCAAUUCAUCCCGUUCCUUGUUAUCUUGCAUUGAUUUUGGGUGCACAUCUCCAGAACAAGUAUCAAGGUCCAGGAGAGACAAUAUUCAGCUCUGGUUCCUUGAUGCUUUUAGUUAUGCUAUUGCAAUCAAGAUGGAUGUGAUGAAUUUGAGUAUAAGAUUGCUUGGACCUUCCUUUUGUUGAGAAGGUAUCCAUAGUGCAUUAAGGAAUCAAUGCCCCAUAUUUGUUGGAGACAAUAAUCGACGUUCAAGAGAAUAAGAGUGCCAAAAAAGAACAUGAUGUACAGUUUUGUUAUUAGGACUUCCAAUGUUCUUUUAAGAGGUGCGGGAGUAGUUCCUACCAUUUAUACAUGAGAAUAUAUAGCUGCAAAGGGGUUCUCUAUCAAAAGUCACUCUCCAGAAAUGAUGCAAAAAUAAGCUGCAAAAGUUCGGCAGUUUCACUUGUGCUUUAUUUUCAAUGACUUUUAUUCCAUAAUCAUCACAACGAGGAUCUGCCUCAUGUUUUCGAUGACCUCAAGAGCUGCUGUGUUACAAAUUUCUCAUCUGAAGAAUGUUAGAAUGGUCUACUUUUUCAAAUUAUAGAAGUGGCUGCUGAAACAUUUACACAACUACCAGGACACUAGGAAACUAGUUGGAGGCUUGUACUGUGCUGGAAGACCUGUAUGGAGACCAGUUUAGCUCACACCUAUCUAAUGCACACUCUUCUUGCAACUGGAUACAUGUUUAUAGUUCUACAGUCUUUGUCUACCUUGGUAUCUUUCGCUUUGUAUACUAUGUUAAGGGAUGGGUUAUGAUUGUGUGGAGAAUCAUAGCAGAUGCACUACUAUCUCUUCUUAGAGAAUUUGUUACAACUGUGAGCCACUUAAUUUUGUAUUUACUCAUAGUUUAUUCUAAAUGUGCUUGUUAUCGGGAAUAAAUACAACUCACUUUUGCCUGAA